rnacentral:rRNA from 1 species
GGUGAACGCUGGCGGUAGGCCUAACACAUGCAAGUCGAACGGCAGCACAGUAAGAGCUUGCUCUUACGGGUGGCGAGUGGAGGACGGGUGAGGCAUACAUCGGAAUCUACUUUUUCGUGGGGGAUAACGUAGGGAAACUUACGCUAAUACCGCAUACGACCUACGGGUGAAAGCAGGGGAUCUUCGGACCUUGCGCGAUUGAAUGAGCCGAUGUCGGAUUAGCUAGUUGGCGGGGUAAAGGCCCACCAAGGCGACGAUCCGUAGCUGGUCUGAGAGGAUGAUCAGCCACACUGGAACUGAGACACGGUCCAGACUCCUACGGGAGGCAGCAGUGGGGAAUAUUGGACAAUGGGCGCAAGCCUGAUCCAGCCAUACCGCGUGGGUGAAGAAGGCCUUCGGGUUGUAAAGCCCUUUUGUUGGGAAAGAAAAGCAGCAGGUUAAUACCCCGCUGUUCUGACGGUACCCAAAGAAUAAGCACCGGCUAACUUCGUG